AGAACGAACGCUGGCGGCAUGCCUAAUACAUGCAAGUCGAACGAAGGCUUCGGCCUUAGUGGCGCACGGGUGCGUAACGCGUGGGAAUCUGCCCCUUGGUUCGGAAUAACAGUUGGAAACGACUGCUAAGUACCGGAUGAUGACGAAAGUCCAAAGAUUUAUCGCCAAGGGAUGAGCCCGCGUAGGAUUAGCUAGUUGGUGAGGUAAGGCUCACCAAGG
rnacentral:rRNA from 1 species